rnacentral:lncRNA from 1 species
CUAUGACAAGGGUCAUAGGACGGCCAUGUGGGGGACACAGCAGGUACCCUCAGGGUUGCCCCAGAUUUUCUUGAGAGUGAGAGGACACCUUAAGGCAGCCAUAAAACAGAAAGUGCUGUGCCCCUUUCCCAGUGACCCUUGCUGGGAAGGCCAGGACAUUUGUUUCCUGAUAGAUCAGGGGCUCAGCAAAGAUGUGUGGCAGGAGGCUUGCUAGGAAGACAGCUGAUUCCUGGAAUAACAGGUGUCUAGAAAGCCCAACACCCAGCUAUUAGAGAGCAGGUGCCCACAGGACAGAGGUGAACUAACCCCCACGGCAGCUCAUUGCUGCUGCCCAAAGGGCCAGUGCAUGGCUAAGUUCCGGGAUCCUGGGUCCAAAUUCACCUGAAGCUUGAAAGAGUGGCCAUGUUCCACUUGUUUCCCCUCCCUCCCUGCAAUCUCCCACUGCCCCAAGGGCCUUCUGGAUUCUAUGGCUAAAAACAGAUGAGUGACAUUCAGAUGGGAGUGGGCUCCAUUAAGGGAAGCUGAUUUCAGGUGUGUUUUGGGGUGAAAGGGGGUAUCCUGGCAUGCUAGCUGGUCUGAGCUGGUGCUCAAGCUGACUCGAGCAAGACAUUUGGCCUCAUUUCCUUGUCUGUAAAUUGGGAAUAAUUUCCCCUCCUUCCAGGGCGGUGCUGGAGAGGAAUGGAGACAAUGCAUGUCAGGCACCGAGUGCUGGGCUCCCAGGGGCAACCCCCUUCUCCCUACUGGGCGAGGUGCCCUUCUUGGCGGAGAGUGGGAGUAUCUUGAAGCACUGGCUGACUCCUGCACCCCUGCCCCAGGAACCCAAGGGACAACCUUGGCAACAGGGAGAGGUCAUUUAGAAUGAUUACUCUCCUGGUAGGCUGAGACCCCCAUCCCUCAAGCUUAGCCCAGAGGGAUUUUUCUCUUCUAAGAGGCUCCCAGAGAAAGGAGGGGCCCUGCAGCCUGCAGUUGCUCCUGAGUGCUGUCCCAGACAACUAAGGGUGGGAAAUCCCGAGGGGCACCUGGAGCUUUACACUCUUCCAGCUGGGGGGCCACAGUUCCACCUCUGUACCCAGGCACGAGCCGCGAGCCAUGGUGAAAAACCCCACAGAGUGACCUCACAAAUAGCCAGAUUUGUUCAGAUGCAUGGAGUUUUUGUUUCUGAAUUUCUGCUGCUACCACUUUGCGAAACCACUUUCUCAGCAGAGACAAUGUUUGGGGCCCCCCCAUCCAUCCUCAUUGUCUCAUCUCCAGGCUAAAUAUAUCCCAGCUUGUUGAAAACCAGCAUCCACAUAAGAACCAGAUGGUGGCGAG